rnacentral:misc_RNA from 1 species
UUUCCGUAGGUGAACCUGCCGAAGGAUCAUUACCGAAUUGUCAAACGGGUUGUUGCUGGUCUUCAAACGGGGACAUGUGCACGCUCUGUUUACACAUCCACUCACACCUGUGCACCCUCCGUAGUUCUAUGGUCUGGGGGACCCUGUCUUCCUGGCGUGGUUCUACGUCUUUACACACACUCUGUAAUAAAGUCUUAUGGAAUGUAUGCCGCGUCUAACGCAAUACAAUACAACUUUCAGCAACGGAUCUCUUGGCUCUC